AAUAAUAAUAAAUUUUAUUUUGUUCACAUUUUAAGGCUUUGUUUGAACUAACUAAAAAAUUAUAAUUUUUAAUAAGUUAGAUAAAAAUACUAAUUUUAUUGAUUAUUGGGAUAUAAAGUGAUAUUUUGUUUUAGCUUAAACAUGUAGGCCAAAUGAACCUAACUAAACCGAGUUAAAAUAUCAGUGGGCCAUCUGAAAAAUUUAGGAUUAAUUAACAAGUCAAAAAACCAAAAACUAUUUGAGCCAGGGACCAGGCUCAUACCCAUUUUUUCAAAGCCCAAACCACUUUCUUAACCCAUUUACCCUAACUUGAAAAGAUUGAUUAUUGGGAUAUAAAGUGAUAUUUUAUUUUAGCUUAAACAUGUAGGCCAAAUGAACCUAACUAAACCGAGUUAAAAUAUCAGUGGGCCAUCUGAAAA
rnacentral:lncRNA from 1 species